rnacentral:rRNA from 1 species
UACGAAGGGUGCAAACGUUGCUCGGAAUUAUUGGGCGUAAAGCGCACGUAGGCGGCCUUGUAAGUCCCAUGUGAAAUCCCACGGCUUAACCGUGGAAGUGCAUGGGAAACUACAGGGCUUGAGUACUUAAGAGGAUCGCGGAAUUCCCGGUGUAGAGGUGAAAUGCGUAGAUAUCUGGAGGAACACCGGUGGCGAAGGCGGCAUCCUGGACCAAUAUUGACGCUGAGGAGCGAAAGCUAGGGGAGCAAACGGGG